UUAAAACCUCAAGAUAUAUCUCGUAAUGAUAGGACCCAAUUAUGUGGCAAUAUCAAGAAAGAAGGAAUAGAGGAGAGGAGAUUGAAUUGAUUAAGAACGCCUUCCAAUUCCGUUGGGAGAAGUGGAGGUUUAAAAGAAGAAGGAAAUGAAAAGAAAUGAUAGUGAAUUCUGAAUAUUAGGAAUGAGGAAGAGUUCUCGAGAGUAGGAGUUCAGAAGAUGCUACCGUGAAGAAGCCAUCGCAGUGUACCGCUCAUCGUUUAUCUCCACUUGACGAUCGUGUAGCAUUUGGCCCAAGUUGAAUGUUGGAGACAACCCAACUCGGUGGAAAAACACCAGCCCAUGAUUGCUGAGUCAGUGGAAUUAGGAAAGAUUAGCUUUAGCCUGAUGAUGAUCCUUCUGUGCCACGUAUCAGCUGGGUCAGAGCAUUCAAUUUAGAUUGUCAAUCACUCUGAAUGCAAAAUUAGAGAGAAGUCUGAAGGCUAUACGAGAGAGAAAACCAUUUCUUUUAUGUUCAACUUACACUUGAGGGUUUCAGAAGGGAAGACGAUGUUCUUGAGCUUCAAAUCUCAAUGGUUCACCUGCAUGUGAGAAAAAUUGUGUAGGAGAUGCAAAGAGGAAGAAGAAGAUAGAUGAGGAAGAAAGAAUACAAGAAGUUUAAGUGGUUCGGCUAAGGGCCUACAUCCACUAUGUAAAGGGAGGGUUCUCAUUUUCAAUGGAAAAAGCUCAUAGUGAGCUAGUGGUUACAACAAACAAAACAGAAAGAAGAAUUAAAGAUAAGCUAUCUACUACUCUUUUAUCUCAUUUCUUUCUAUCACAAUCUCCACCUUUGUAAUCAUCCAGAGAACCUUCCCUUUUGCUUCUAGAGCUGACUUUGAGCUAACCCUUUUCAGAUAACUCGAACCCAAGGAAGUCCAAGCAAUGACCAAGUUUGCUUUGAGGAACGGUCUUGGUCAAUAUAUCAGUCGCGUUGUCUAAGCGGUUGAGUUGUUCGAGUGUUCGAGGUUGCAUUGCUUAAGUGGUCAUGAUCAAGGAGCAUUGGCGAUGAGUUUACCAAGGCUCCACCACCAAAUCUAAGAUCCUAGAGGAUAGUAGGGAAGAUCAAGUGGUGAUCGACAACUUGUUAGUUAAGAAAUUCGAGACGGAAUUCAAGGAUUGAGAAGUACAACAAAGGUAUGAUCUUCAAUCAUAACCCUACUUGUAUUUUUAUUUGAUCUUGCAUCUUUCUUUGCUGAAAUUGAUAGAAUUAGAGUAGUUAAGAUCCUAAUUAUUUUUGCAUUUUGAAUGUCAACACCAUCAAUUGGUAUCAGAGCAUCAUUUAGGCACCUAGUUCGUGUUAAUUUUAGCUUGGUGGGUGAUUUUCAUAGGUUGUAUGAAAAAGGGUGCUGAUAUGGAUAAUUUCAAUUUUGGCAUUAGAUUUCUAUUCAAUUCAAUGUUAAUUGUUGUAAUUGGCUCUUUUUUAUGGGCCUAAAUAUGUAAUUAAGUGUCUGUAAUUUGUUAGAGUUGAUAGAGUUGAAAUUAGGUUGUAAUUGAAUAAAAAUCGAAGUAAGUUCAACAGUUGGUUGUAGUAGAAGAAACUACUGCUUUGCAGCCUUAGAGCGUUGCAGCGCUAUUCUUCAGAUAUCCUUCAAAAGAAGCAAAAGCUUAUAGCGUUGUAACACUGGGUUUAUAGCAUUGCAACCAGUUUAUCCCAAGCCAAAAGGCAGGCGUGCGAACAGACCGACGGUUGAAGUUGACCGGUUCAACCAGUUCGAGUCAAUGAGGCUUAGUUCAGCCAGUUUUAGACCGAUUCAACCCAUUUUGGAGCCCGGGAGGUUUGGUUUAGGUCUGUUCGUGAAGUCUAAAGGCUUUUGAGGUUCUUUUUAAUUAUUAUUGUAAUAAUUUAGAUUGUUUGCUUGCUUAGGAUGCCAAAAUUGGU